UACUACGGCCAUGCUACCCUGAACACGCCCGAUCCCAUCUGAUCUCGGAAGCUAAGCAGGGUCUGGCCUGGUUAGUACUUGGAUGGGAGAUCACCUAGGAAGACCGGUGCUGUAGGUG
rnacentral:rRNA from 1 species